AAUCAAGCGCGAAAAGGGCGUUUGGUGAAUGCCUUGGCAGUAAGAGGCGAUGAAAGACGUGAUACUCUGCGAUAAGCCAUGGGGAGCUGAGAAUAAGCUUUGAUCCAUGGAUUUCUGAAUGGGGCAACCCACCUGAUUGUUUAUUGUUGUCCUACCGCUUUGCUACUUGAGGACGUAAGUUCGCAAGGCGCAGACGGUGGGUUCAUCAGUAAGCAGAACCAGGUAUUUAUAGACUGAAUACAUAGGUUUAUAAAAGCAAACCCGGGGAACUGAAACAUCUAAGUACCCGGAGGAAAGGAAAUCAAUUGAUACUCCCCUAGUAGCGGCGAGCGAACGGGGACCAGCCGAGCCAUGAAUGUGGUUAGAAUGCGUUGGAAUGCGCAACCAAAGUGGGUGAUAGUCCCGUAUAAGAAGCAUGAUUGGACGUAUUAAGUAGGGCGGAACACGUGAA
rnacentral:rRNA from 1 species